GCCGGGUGCGGUGGCGCGCGCCUGUAAUCCAAGCUACCGGGAGGCUGAGGCUGGCGGAUCGUUUGAGCUCAGGAGCUCUGAGCUGCAGUGGACUAUGCCGAUCGGGUGUCCGCACUAAGUUCGGUAUCGAUAUGGUGCUCCUGGGGGAGCCCGGGACCACCAGGUCGUCUNACGCUGUAGUGCAGCCUGAGUAAUACAGCGGGACCCAGUCUUUUUAUGCUUCAUAAAUCAACACUAUUGUGGAUUGAUGCAUUCUGUUUUCUCUGCUUCUGCCUGUUGUGACAAAUUACCCGU
rnacentral:sRNA from 1 species